rnacentral:lncRNA from 1 species
AUGGGGGAGUGGCAGCAUGUGUGCUUGCAAAGAUGUGAGGCAGGUCACUAUGGAAGACAAAACAUGAGAAACAACUUCAGAAUCAGAAGUUUGCUGAAGUGGUCACACAUCAAACAACAGAACAAAGUACAUGGAAUCAACUGGAUCAAUGGGCCAAGAGAGCCACGUGUUGGACAUUAUCCAAACCGAUUACCCUGAGGACAAAAGCUUCAUCACUGAAAAAAGUUUGUAAAUAAAGAACAAGUAAAACCUGCCA